GACGAACGCUGGCGGCGUGCUUAACACAUGCAAGUCGAACGAUGAACCGCUUUCGGGCGGGGAUUAGUGGCGAACGGGUGAGUAACACGUGGGCAAUCUGCCCUGCACUCUGGGACAAGCCCUGGAAACGGGGUCUAAUACCGGAUAUGACUGUCCAUCGCAUGGUGGAUGGUGUAAAGCUCCGGCGGUGCAGGAUGAGCCCGCGGCCUAUCAGCUUGUUGGUGAGGUAGUGGCUCACCAAGGCGACGACGGGUAGCCGGCCUGAGAGGGCGACCGGCCACACUGGGACUGAGACAUGGCCCAGACUCCUACGGGAGGCAGCAGUGGGGAAUAUUGCACGAUGGGCGAAAGCCUGAUGCAGCGACGCCGCGUGAGGGAUGACGGCCUUCGGGUUGUAAACCUCUUUCAGCAGGGAAGAAGCGAAAGUGACGGUACCUGCAGAAGAAGCGCCGGCUAACUACGUGCCAGCAGCCGCGGUAAUACGUAGGGCGCAAGCGUUGUCCGGAAUUAUUGGGCGUAAAGAGCUCGUAGGCGGCUUGUCACGUCGGUUGUGAAAGCCCGGGGCUUAACCCCGGGUCUGCAGUCGAUACGGGCAGGCUAGAGUUCGGUAGGGGAGAUCGGAAUUCCUGGUGUAGCGGUGAAAUGCGCAGAUAUCAGGAGGAACACCGGUGGCGAAGGCGGAUCUCUGGGCCGAUACUGACGCUGAGGAGCGAAAGCGUGGGGAGCGAACAGGAUUAGAUACCCUGGUAGUCCACGCCGUAAACGGUGGGCACUAGGUGUGGGCAACAUUCCACGUUGUCCGUGCCGCAGCUAACGCAUUAAGUGCCCCGCCUGGGGAGUACGGCCGCAAGGCUAAAACUCAAAGGAAUUGACGGGGGCCCGCACAAGCGGCGGAGCAUGUGGCUUAAUUCGACGCAACGCGAAGAACCUUACCAAGGCUUGACAUACACCGGAAACGUCUGGAGACAGGCGCCCCCUUGUGGUCGGUGUACAGUGGUGCAUGGCUGUCGUCAGCUCGUGUCGUGAGAUGUUGGGUUAAGUCCCGCAACGAGCGCAACCCUUGUCCCGUGUUGCCAGCAGGCCUUUGUGGUGCUGGGGACUCACGGGAGACCGCCGGGGUCAACUCGGAGGAAGGUGGGGACGACGUCAAGUCAUCAUGCCCCUUAUGUCUUGGGCUGCACACGUGCUACAAUGGCCGGUACAAUGAGCUGCGAUACCGCGAGGUGGAGCGAAUCUCAAAAAGCCGGUCUCAGUUCGGAUUGGGGUCUGCAACUCGACCCCAUGAAGUCGGAGUCGCUAGUAAUCGCAGAUCAGCAUUGCUGCGGUGAAUACGUUCCCGGGCCU
rnacentral:rRNA from 1 species